ACAGAAUCAAGAAUGAGAACAAGUAAUUUAUUUUGCUUUGUGUGAAGAGAGCCUUUGGUUGGUGAGAAAAGGUCACAGCUUAUAAAUGAACACAUCUCGGAGAUAUCUUGCUGAAAUUCUAAUAGUAGGUAAGGUCGGUCCACUCGUUAUCGUGGUCAGUUUGGAUACAAACUGUUAGAGGCUUAAUUCAUUAUAUUAAGCAAACAUGAGGUGGGACCACGACAUAUAAUAUGCUCGUCCUCUUG
rnacentral:ncRNA from 1 species